GGGGGGGGGGGGGGGGGGGGGGGGGGGGUGGGGGUCGGGCGCUUGUUUCGGGGCGAGGGCUUGCACUCGAUGGGAAAGGGGGGUGGCGGACGGGGGAGUAACACGGGGGUAACCUACCCAUCAGAGGGGGAUAACACUUGGAAACAGGUGCUAAUACCGCAUAACAGUUUAUGCCGCAUGGCAUAAGAGUGAAAGGCGCUUUCGGGUGUCGUUGAUGGAUGGACCCGCGGUGCAUUAGCUAGUUGGUGAGGUAACGGCUCACCAAGGCCACGAUGCAUAGCCGACCUGAGAGGGUGAUCGGCCACACUGGGACUGAGACACGGCCCAGACUCCUACGGGAGGCAGCAGUAGGGAAUCUUCGGCAAUGGACGAAAGUCUGACCGAGCAACGCCGCGUGAGUGAAGAAGGUUUUCGGAUCGUAAAACUCUGUUGUUAGAGAAGAACAAGGACGUUAGUAACUGAACGUCCCCUGACGGUAUCUAACCAGAAAGCCACGGCUAACUACGUG
rnacentral:rRNA from 1 species